rnacentral:rRNA from 1 species
AGCAGCCGCGGUAAUUCCAGCUCCAAUAGCGUAUAUUAAAGUUGUUGCAGUUAAAAAGCUCGUAGUUGAAUUUCGGGAUUAGUAAGUUGGUCGUGCCUCCGGUAUGUACUGGCUUUACUGGUUCCUCCUUCUUGAAGAACUGUAAUGUCAUUAAUUUGGUGUUGCAGGGAAACAGGACUGUUACUUUGAAAAAAUUAGAGUGUUUAAAGCAGGCUAACGCUUGAAUACAUUAGCAUGGAAUAAUGAAAUAGGACGUUUGAUCCUAUUUUGUUGGUUUCUAGGAUUGACGUAAUGAUUAAUAGGGAUAGUUGGGGGCAUUAGUAUUCAAUUGUCAGAGGUGAAAUUCUUGGAUUUAUUGAAGACUAACUACUGCGAAAGCAUUUGCCAAGGAUGUUUUCAUUAAUCAAGAACGAAAGUUAGGGGAUCGAAGACGAUCAGAUACCGUCGUAGUCUUAACCAUAAACUAUGCCGACUAGGGAUCGGAUGAUGUUAAUUUUUUAAUGACUCAUUCGGCGCCUAC